rnacentral:rRNA from 1 species
UGGGCAACCUGCCCCCGACCCUGGGAUAACCCCGGGAAACCGGAGCUAAUACCGGAUACUCUCCUCCGACCACAUGGUCAGAAGAGGAAAGGUCCGCCGGUCGGGGAUGGGCCCGCGGCCUAUCAGCUUGUUGGUGGGGUAACGGCCUACCAAGGCAUCGACGGGUAGCUGGUCUGAGAGGACGACCAGCCACACUGGGACUGAGACACGGCCCAGACUCCGUACGGGAGGCA